UUUCCAACCCUCUGUGGGAUGCUUUUCUCACCCCCGCUACUUAUUAGGGGGCGACCGCCCCCGGCAAACUGCCCUCCUGAGACUGGCUCCCACCAAUAAGUGGCGCAGGUUAUAAAGCCAUCCCCUAGGGUAGUCAGCGCCUCCGCGUAAAGCGCUCACGUUUCAAAGUACUAUCCUGUACGAUGUGCAAUUUCAAUA
rnacentral:rRNA from 1 species